rnacentral:rRNA from 1 species
GCUGGUGUCUAUAGCGGAGGGGCCAUACCUGUUCCCAUCCCGAACACAGAAGUUAAGUCCUCCAGCGGCGAUGAUAAUGCAGUGGUGACACUGUGUGAAAGUAGCUCGGUGCCAGUU